AUUGAACGCUGGCGGCAUGCUUUACACAUGCAAGUCGAACGGCAGCGCGGGCUUCGGCCUGGCGGCGAGUGGCGCACGGGUGAGUAAUACAUCGGAACAUGCCCAGUAGUGGGGGGUAGCUACGCGAAAGCCGGAUUAAUACCGCCUACGACCUGCGGGUGCAAGCGGGGGAUCUUCGGACCUCGCGCUCUUGGAGCGGCCGAUGGCCGAGUUGCUAGUUGGUGGGGUAAAGGCCUACCAAGGCGACGAUCUGUAGCUGGUCUGAGAGGACGACCAGCCACACUGGGACUGAGACACGGCCCAGACUCCUACGGGAGGCAGCAGUGGGGAAUUUUGGACAAUGGGCGAAAGCCUGAUCCAGCAAUGCCGCGUGUGUGAUGAAGGCCUUCGGGUUGCAAAGCACUUUUGGCGGGAACGAAAAGGACUGUGCCAAUACCACGGUUCGAUGACGGUACCCGCAGAAUAAGCACCGGCUAACUACGUG
rnacentral:rRNA from 1 species